GACGAACGCUGGCGGCGUGCUUAACACAUGCAAGUCGAACGAAGUGGCGAACGGGUGCGUAACGCGUAAUCAACCUGCCCUUCAGUGGGGGACAACAGUUGGAAACGACUGCUAAUACCGCAUACUGAAGGAGGGGCUUGCGUCUGAUUAGCUAGUUGGAGGGGUACCUGACCACCAAGGCGAUGAUCAGUAGCCGGGGUGAGAGGAUGAACGGCAAAAUUGGGACUGAGACACGGCACAGACUCAUACGGGAGGCAGCAGUGGGGAAGCUUCCGAAAGGGACGAAAGUCGGACGGAGCAACGCCGAGUGAGUGAUGACGGCCGUCGGGUUGUAAAGAUCUGUUAAUCGGGACGAGGUAAAGGAAUAGAAAGCCACGGCUAACUACGUGCCAGCAGCCGCGGUAAUAC
rnacentral:rRNA from 1 species